UCCUAAUCUCUGUUCUAAACCCUAGCAUCCCCUUCCUCUUCUACAUCAGUCAUCGCCGCCACCUUAUUAAGGAUCAAUUAGAUGUCGAUCAACCACUAGAGAACUGAAUACACACAUCUUCUUUGUUCUCUUUUCAUCUCUCAAACCCUAAAUUCACUGUAUUCUCCUUCACGCUUUUUCCUCUCAUCCAGUUCAUAUCUCAAACCUAAAUUCACUGUAUUCGAUCAACGAAACAGGGUUGAUUAAAACAAGAAUGCAAAUCAGGAGAUUCCGACAUGACAUCUUCGGCAAAAACACUAAAAAACACUGGGUAAAUUUGAUGCAAAGAAUGGUGGUGGAUUCUCGGUAACUACUGUGGAGCUAGAAUUGCUGUGGAUACAGAAGUUGUCACAGCCUAACAAGUGCUCUUCUGGUCACAUAAUCAUCUUGACUUGGGUUUUAGGACCGUUAAAGCUAUGGAUCCGCAAUUGAUGAGCCCAUCACUAAAGAAAACGAACUCGAAUAUGUCGGUUAGCCCACAAGAUCACAUAAAGCUGAUCAACGAGGUACGCAAGGCAAUUGAGAAGCACGCAUCGAUUGACAAGAUCAAACAGAAGCUUGGAGAUGGGUAUUCGCAGUAUUUAUCUGAUCAACAAAAAAGUUUUUAUUUAGCAUGCCUUUGUCGACAAGUCUGGUUAACGAACCAGAGUCAGCUACCCAUUUUCUUGUCUUGUCUGGUGUCAAGUAUUGAUUGGAUCAAAGUUCCUAAUAUUACUGGGUUCCACUUUAUAGGUGAGAUUUUCCAUUACUUUGUGGGUCGUGACUCUUCAAAAAUAUGGGGAAAAGAGUAUGCCUCUGGUGGUUAUAGCAACCUUAUGGGCUUUGUAGCUUGCUAGAAACUCAAGGCAUC